rnacentral:rRNA from 1 species
ACAGUCACACAUUAGAUACCCGUGUAGUCCUGGCCGUAAACGAUGUGGACUUGGCGUUGGAAUGGGCGUCAGAGCUGCUCCAGUGCCGAAGGGAAGCUGUUAAGUCCACCGCCUGGGAAGUACGGUCGCAAGACUGAAACUUAUAGGAAUUGGCGGGGGAGCACCACAACGCGUGGAGCCUGCGGUUUAAUUGGAUUCAACGCCGGACAUACUCACCAGGGGCGACAGCAGAAUGAUGGCCAGGUUGAUGACCUUGCUUGACAAGCUG